UUAUCAAGUUGACAGUUCUUUAACAGGUUAAGUGCCAUGUCAGUCACUGAUGACUGACGCUUCUGAAUUAAUGAAAAUAGUACAAUGAAAAUGUUUAAUAACUAAGCUGAUAAUAGUGUAACGUUAAAUAAUUAAUAGUUCCUGCUAUGUUUUGCUACAAAAGAAUAACCUUACAGAAAAACGGUCAAGAUUUUCGUGGCACUUAACCUGUUAAAUAUAUAAAAUAUAUAAAUAUAAUUACAUUCUCGUGUUUUGCUAUGAUUUGAUAUUUCCUCAAAGUUGAUAACUCUUUUGACACUUCAUAACAUGCGUCAGAGAACGGUGUGAAUUGUUUUCCCUUCGAUUCUUCACGACAUUCUCUAUAUGGCCAUUUGUCUUCGUUCGCUUCUUGCAGCUGAUCAUUACUGACUUCGCCAAGCAAAUUCAACGUUACAGAGGACCCAAAACAUUUACCUUUCGCUGUAUCGGCAAGUCCCCAAACAGCAUUUAGUACUAUUUUAGCAGGUUCACUUGGUUUAGUACUAACAAAGUUCCAUUCCCAAGGUAUUUCUUUCUCUGCUUCUAAGCAAAACUAAAGGCCAAAAUGUAUGUUUUAUCAUAUCGGAGACCCAACUUGUGAUCUCGUAAAGAGCAGCUAAGUUCCAUUGUUGAAGAAUUUGUGACGAUUCAGCACUACGACGUGUUAAGGAUAAUAUAUGAUGGUUCGGACCUUUGAUAUAUUCAAAUCUUACCUAAUAAAAAGUGCUCGAUAUAGAAUUUACAAUUUAGGUAUUCAGGAUAUAGAAAUGUUACUAACUUGAGUUUGCUUCGUAUCAAUUGUGCUAAUAUAAACGGCUAAACCAAAACUACCUUUGGGUGGUAUGUAUGUGUAGUAAUCUAGGAAAUUAAGUGCUGUGAAAGCAAACUGCAGAAAUGGCCAAAUACUAAAAUAGUUGAAAAUCAACGAAUCGAUAUGAUUAAUAAAUUAACAUGAUUGGUAUAAUGAUGAAAGUGAAAAUGUAUUAAACUGCACGUACGGAUAAUUAGCUUGAUGAGAAGAGAACACAUCAUGAAUUAAUUUCUCUCGUGAUAUUGUGGUUUCGCAGUCAAAGAGUUUUACACACACCAGACCUCCCAAUUCUUCUAAUUGAAUUUCAUACAAAGCUACAUCCUGCGAAAGCAAUAAUUAUUCAGCACUACAAAUUACUAAAAGGGAUAACCAAAGUCUACUUACUUUUGGUUUAUAGGUUAGUAGUCGUUCUGACAUGAACCGUAAGGCCCAUUUUAAGAUGCUCUACGGAAGUGAUUGAAGAAGAAGAUUAUAUUUUAACUAUAGAGUAUUAUGAAUUCUAUUUUUUAAAUUAUUAGUACCUUCCGGAGUAUUAUAUGAAAUAAAAGGACGAUCCUCAAUGCCAAGCGUAAUGUUGACUGGAACGUACACAUGAAUAGAAUGUGCCCUUUCUGCGCUAUGCCAUAUAUCAAUUAAAGGAUUAUAGUUUUCAAUCAUUUCUGUUCUAUGAAUGGAUGUACUGGAAACAAAAUAAUAAUGUGAAACAUUGAAAUAAAGCAUAAUAUUAUUGUUUACACUUACCGUAGUAUAACAUGAUUGUUACGGCCAGUUGCAACAUGUGUAAAGUUUCCUCUCAUUGAGAACAAUGAUGUAGUGGUCACU